AUUGAACGCUGGCGGCAGGCCUAACACAUGCAAGUCGAGCGAGCGGCGGACGGGUGAGUAAUGUCUGGGCAACUGCCUGAUGGAGGGGGAUAACUACUGGAAACGGUAGCUAAUACCGCAUAACAUAAGAUGUGCCCAGAUGGGAUUAGCUCGUAGGUGGGGUAACGGCUCACCUAGGCGACGAUCCCUAGCUGGUCUGAGUGGAUGACCAGCCACACUGGAACUGAUACACGGUCCAGACUCCGACGGGAGGCAGCAGUGGGUAAUAUGGCACAAUGGGCGCAAGCCUGAUGCAGCCAUGCCGCGUGGGGGAAGAAGGCCUUCGGGUUGGAAAGCACUUUCAUCGGGGAGGCGUUACCCGCAGAAGAAGCACCGGCUAACUCCGUGCCAGCAGCCGCGGUAAUAC
rnacentral:rRNA from 1 species